rnacentral:rRNA from 1 species
UGGGGAAUUUUGGACAAUGGGGGCAACCCUGAUCCAGCAAUGCCGCGUGAGUGAAGAAGGCCUUCGGGUUGUAAAGCUCUUUUGUCAGGGAAGAAACGGUAGUAGCGAAUAACUAUUACUAAUGACGGUACCUGAAGAAUAAGCACUGGCUAACUACGUGCCAGCAGCCGCGGUAAUACGUAGGGUGCAAGCGUUAAUCGGAAUUACUGGGCGUAAAGCGUGCGCAGGCGGUUGUGUAAGUCAGAUGUGAAAUCCCCGGGCUCAACCUGGGAAUUGCAUUUGAGACUGCACGGCUAGAGUGUGUCAGAGGGGGGUAGAAUUCCACGUGUAGCAGUGAAAUGCGUAGAUAUGUGGAGGAAUACCGAUGGCGAAGGCAGCCCCCUGGGAUAACACUGACGCUCAUGCACGAAAGCGUGGGGAGCAAACAGGAUUAGAUACCCACGUAGUCCCUGAGCGGGCUGGCAAGGCGCAU